rnacentral:pre_miRNA from 14 species
ACUUAAAGAUUGUGAUUAAAGAUUGCCAGUGUUACACUUGAAAGAUCCCCAGAGCGGGGAGACCCUCACUCAAGUCUCGGGAUGAUGCGACCCCCCAAGAACUCACGUGAGACC